ACUCUUCAAUGUUCAUAGUAUCCAGGUUUCAUUGUUCUGCUUCCCCGGCCAGAAGGAUUUUGGGAUUUCCCAUGUGCAUUCCCUGCCACUGCUGUUUGCCCAAAGGACUAGCAUAGCUCCUCAAAGAUGGUAAUUAUUUGUACCACCUUCUGCCUUCCUCCUCCUGAUCUAAACUUUAAGAGAAUAUGUGGUGCUGUGAGCAUUACAACACAGUGACAGAGAGAUGUCUCUCAUCAAUUAGACCAUCUGCUACUAUAUCACAUAGAAGUACGCAGGCCUCUCACUGUUGUGGCCUCUCCCGUUGCGGAGCACAGGCU